rnacentral:rRNA from 1 species
UUAUACAAGAUUUUCAAUUUAAUAUAUACAAGUAUUCAGUUAAUUGUUAUUUUUUUAUAAUUUUAUGAAUUUUGGUGAAAUAAUAUUUGUUAUAAAUAUAAAUUUUAUAUGUCUGAUAAACUAUUAAUAUAAACUAGGAUUAGAUACCCUAUUAUUCAAAGGUGUAAAUUAAGUUAACUUGAUUAUUAAUAGAUAUAAUCUUUAAAUUCAAAGAAUUUGGCGGUAAUUUACCUUAUCAGAGGAACCUGUUUUAUAAUUGAUAAUCCACGAUAGAUCAUACUUCAUUAUGACUUGUAUACCGCUGUCAAGAAUGUUCUUUUAGGAAAUUUUCUGUAUCUUUAAUAAACUUAAUGUCAGGUCAAGGUGCAGUUACAAUUAUGAAAGCAAAAAUGGGUUACAUUUUAUUAUAUAAUUGAAUAUAUUCUAUUAUAUUUAGAUUAUUGAAAUUGAAUUUGAAAAUAAAUUAAUUAAAUUUAAUUAAUUGAAAUAAGCUCUAUAUUAUGCACAUAUCGCCCGUCACUCUCAUUUUAAGAUGAGAUAAGUCGUAACAAAGUAGCUGUACCGGAAGGUGUAGCUAGAAUGA